AUCGCCCCUUCUGGAGAACUCCACAGCCCACGGUAACCCACGAUACCUCCACCCUCCUGGCUCUAGCAAAUCGAUUCCCUGCCAACCUCCCAUUUUUCAUCUCACGCUGGUCUUUCCCCUGGAAUCUGGAUGCUCCGUCUUCAAUUUCUCUAGCCCGUGAGUCACACUCACACACCAGCAGCUCCAUUGGUCCAUGCCCGGUCCACACACCCUGCAUGGCAGCACCUCCGAAUCACCUCCACGUCCAGAUUGCCCCGUCUCCUUGCAGGCUCUGGCUUGCUUCGAAAUUUGUUUCCACCUGGUGAUUAAAGGCUCAUACGAGCUGGACAUCGCCAGCUGACCAUAGUGCCGUUGACCACAGGUGUUUGUGUUUAUGUCCAAACAGUACACUAUGAAAGGCAAUGCAGCAUAUGUUCAUUCUGUUCAUCAGGGAAUAGCUCCUGCAACACUAGAGUACUUGCAAAGCCAAAUAAGGAUAUUGACCCAUCAGGAAAAAGCACACAAAAUAUUGUCUACAGGGAUGUUUUGCUAUAAUUCAUGUGCGUGUUGUGUACUGCAGUGUGAUGUUUCUAAUAUGGUUGUAUUGAUGUAAAUAGUACCCAGGAAAAUAAUGUUAUAUAGGGCUUCAGUCAUUAGCUUGUGCCUGUGAAAGUUGUAGACCAAAAGUUAUAUUUGCAGCGGUACUAUUCUAGCAUAUACAAUACUUUAACCAUGUACUAUUCCUUUUUCAGUUAUUGCAUAUAGCAGAAAUCCAGCAACAGAA